GCCCAUGCCUUGCAAGACCUCGACGCCGACAUCACCGAGGAGGAGGUUUGGGAGGCUAUAAAAGAGAUGCCUAGUAACAAGGCGCCGGGACCUGAUGGUUUCACGGGGAUCUUCUUCAAGAAGUGUUGGGGAAUCAUCAAGCAUACGAUCAUGGGGGUCAUUCAACGCUUCGAUUGCUUACACACCUCCAACCUGCAAUGGCUAAACUCUGCCAAUGUUGUUCUGCUGCCUAAGAAGGACGGCGCGGAAGGCAUCUCUGAUUAUAGGCCCAUUAGCCUCAUACAUGCCAUCGCUAAAAUCAUUGCCAAGGUUCUAUCGCUACGCCUUGCGCCCCACAUGGAUGACCUCGUGUCCAACGCCCAGAGUGCUUUCAUUAAAAGGAGAAGUAUCCACGACAACUUCAUGUAUGUUCGCAACUUUGCCCGGCGUCUACACAAAUGCAAGACCCCCGCACUCCUUUUCAAGCUUGAUAUAAAAAAGGCUUUCGACUCAGUCAAGUGGGGAUACAUUCUUGAGCUGCUCCAACGGUUGGGCUUCCCUCCAAAAUUUCAAGCUUGGAUUGCUGCGCUUCUAUCCUCUUCUUCAUCUCGGAUAAUGCUAAACGGGCUACCCGGCCCUCCUGUCAAGCAUGGCCGCGAAUUCAGGCAGGGGGACCCCAUCUCUCCACUCCUCUUCGUCUUGGCAAUUGACCCCUUGCAUAAGAUCCUAGACUUGGCGACGCGAAAAGGGCUCCUUCAUAAGAUCCGUGGUCGGGGUGCCAUGGUGCGCACCUCCCUCUAUGCGGAUGAUGCGGCGGUCUUUGUGGCCCCCAUCAAGCGGGACAUCGACAAUCUUGCCUCUAUCCUCAGA
rnacentral:rRNA from 1 species